AUCCAGCUGACGAGUCCCAAAUAGGAUGACACACGCGUCCUGGAU
rnacentral:hammerhead_ribozyme from 1 species